AAAGAAAAAAGGAGUAAAUUGAUCUUAAAAUGUAACUUGAUGCAAGCAGGCAGGAAGUGAGAGGCUCUUAGUCUCACAAAAAAAGCAAAAUGUAAUUGUUCAAGUGUUAUUCUAGUCCUUUCUGCACCAUCCCCCAGGUCAAAAUGACAUAUUCUGCAUCUGUGCUCCCCCCACCCUUAGGAAGGCCUUUGUCUUAAACCCUUAUAAAAGACUUUCUGCCCUUUUUGCAUCGCUCAGUCAUUUUCCCUGCGAACGUGAUGCCUGCCUGGCCUGAGAGAGCUGUCAUGAUGUCUCCACAACUUAUCACCCUUGACAUUGAUUUGGAUGCGCCAUCUGCACAAAGCCCAGCGUUUGCCAGUUUAGCCUACAAGCUCCAACUCUGCUGAUGGCCGGCCUGCCCACCGCUCUCCCCUUGCCGAGUGGAAAAGCGCAGCUCACAGUUUCUAAGACAAUGGAUGAUCCAUUCAGUGAGAGGCAACUCUGGAUCAAGAACUGCGAGGACGUGACGUGCUUUUGCUUCAUUGCAGUUGCUGUAUCUGUUCCUUUGCGGUUUGGGUGUUUUUGUUUUAUGUCUGUCAACGCAGCAGAGGAGAUCAAACCCUUUGUGGCUUUCUUUCCUCAACAGAUAGAGUUGGGAGGUCAUGAGUGUUUUGCUGUCCUCAUAUUUUGUUCAAAAUUCAGAACAAUUUUUUCUAUGUAAAUACUGAAAGUGUAUGAUUUGUGCAGCAACUCAGCUAUUUUUAAUUUCAUAUUUUCACAUGUUAUAUUUAAGGGAUAAGGGAAUUUUUUAGAUCCUUCCCCAAGUUGCAUUCUCUAAGUUGGGUUCAUUGUGCUGGCUGGUUAUCUAAUGUGCAUCCUUACCAACAUCAAAAUGAGGGUUUUUUUGUAGGGGGUUUCUUUUUCAUGUCUUUUCUUUUGGUCAUACUGAGGCUUCCCAGUUCAGCGCAAAGGAGCAGAGUCAGCCUUACAGUGUUAGGAAGGGACUAGCUCUGCAGCCUGUUGACAAACUGCCCUGCUGGCUCUGCUGUCUUGCUUUGACCACAGAGUUUCAAUGUUUUCGGUUCUUUUAAACUAGACAACAAAGCCAGCAUUUAAAGUCUCAGAAGCAUAACUUUCUAAGGGAAGGAAAGGUUGUCACAUUAUAAAAUCCAAAAAAACCCAAAAAAACAAAACAAAAAAACCCCACACACAAUGAACUUUGAAAUGCUUCAGUCGUUUUUAGUAACAUAACCUGUAAUGGUGGAUCUGGUGAAUAUCAUUCCCAAAAAUGGUUCCGAGUUUUAGGAAUGUGGAGAAAGGAAUUACGUUGAUUCCAUUCAGGAAUCUGUAUAGCAAGUAUGCGUCCCUUCUGUUGAGAUGAAUUUACAAAAAGUGCUUCAGCUGCUCCAAGCACUGUGUGGAGGGUGUUGCAAGAGCCCAAGAGCUCAGCCCAGCGCAGAGCUCGUGAGCAGCUGCCGCCCCCGCCUCCCGCCCCCUUUAGAUACAUACGGGUAUACCAUGCAAAUAUAUUCUACCAUGAGAACCACUGUCUUUACUUUUUUUCGAACAAGAAUCUAUCCAUCCUGCCUAGCCCUGAGUUUUCCGAGCACCGCAGGUGUCCUGGGAGUUGUCUGCAUCUCAUAGGUCAUCUGACUUCCUGUUUUCAAAGUAAGGGUGUUGGGCUCUGCUGAGCGCUACAGGGAGGUGGGUAUUUGAAGUCCAUUAGGGGAGGAUGUUGGCGCAAAAAACUUAAUCCCAUGACAUCUCAUUGAUGUACAGAACUGGGGACUUUUAGAGUUGACGUCUGAUCGUGAUGGGUACCCAUCAAGGGAAAGAGUUAACGUGUCAGGCAUCUGCCCUCUUGGAGCAGGACUGGCCCGCGUGGCCACCGAGAGCCCUCAGCCACGAUGGCGGGGUUCCCGGGAAGCAUUCCCCAAUGGAGGAGCACAUAUUUUUCUGCAGUUCUUGAUUGAAAGUUGUCAGAAAUAUUUAAAAAUAUUUAAAUUGCGAACCUAUUGAUAAAGAAAUACUGAUAAAAACUGAUAUGUAGGCCUGUACUAAUCUCCAUGCAUUAGUAAUAUGGACUGUAAUCCCACACUAAGGAAACCACUGCGAGGCGCGAGCCCCGGGGGGUGCGCGUUUUAAAGCUUAACAGGGAUUGUGCUCCUUUUCCGUCAUGGUGAACCAAAUGAAUUGGCACCACUGUGGUCACGUGCUGCAGGCUUAAAAAAAUUUUGGUUAUUUUGUGUGGACAACAAUGUAGAAGCCAAAAUUGAUGUAUUACUAUGCAACGUU